AGAGGCCUCGAGCGUUAGGCGGAAUCACUGGGCUUAAAGCGUGUGUAGGUGGAUGCCUAAGUGCCUUGUGAAAUCCCAUGGCUUAACCAUGGAAUUGCUGGGCAUACUGGGUGUCUUGAGCCACUCAGGGGCUACCGGAACAAGCGGUGGAGCGGUGAAAUGCGUAGAUAUCGCUUGGAACGCCAAUGGUGAAAACAGGUAGCUGGGGGUGUGCUGACACUGAGACACGAAAGCCAGGGGAGCGAACGGGAUUAGAUACCCCGGUAGUCCUGGCCCUAAACGAUGUCCACUAGAUUGUGGCGGUUCUAACGCCGUCAUGGUCGUAGCAAAAGUGCUAAGUGGACCGCCUGGGAAGUACGGUCGCAAGGCUA
rnacentral:rRNA from 1 species